AUCCCAGACUCCUACGGGAGGCAGCAGUGGGGGAUAUUGCACAAUGGGGGGAACCCUGAUGCAGCGACGCCGCGUGGGUGAAGGAGUGCUUCGGCAUGUAAAGCCCUAUCGGCAGGGAAGAAGCAAGACGGUACCUGACUAAGAAGCCCCGGCUAACUACGUGCCAGCAGCCGCGGUAAUACGUAGGGGGCGAGCGUUAUCCGGAUUUACUGGGCGUAAAGGGAGCGCAGGCGGCACGGCAAGUCUGGUGUGAAAGCCCGGGGCCCAACCCCGGGACUGCAUUGGAAACUGCCGGGCUGGAGUGCCGGAGGGGUAAGCGGAAUUCCUGGUGUAGCGGUGAAAUGCGCAGAUAUCAGGAAGAACACCGGUGGCGUAGGCGGCUUACUGGACGGCAACUGACGCUGAGGCUCGAAAGCGUGGGGAGCAAACAGGAUUAGAUACCCUGGUACC
rnacentral:rRNA from 1 species